GGGGUUCCUCCAGGCCCUGUCUCUGGCAGUGGACAAGCAGUUUGAAGAGAGAAAGAAGCUUGCAGCUUACAUCUGAUCCUGGGCUUCCCCAUCUGGUGCUUUUCCCAUGGAGAACACACAACCAGAAAAGUGCAGACUCUGAGUGUUCCAGGGAAACACAUGCUGGACAUCCCUUGUAACCCGGUAUGGGCGCCCCUGCAUUGCUGGGAUGUUUCUGCCCACGGUUUUGUUUGUGCAAUAACGUUAUCACAUUUCUAAUGAGGAUUCACAUUAAUAUAAUAUAAAAUAAAUAGGUCAGUUACUGGU
rnacentral:lncRNA from 1 species